UGUUAGCCUCCCGUGUGCUCCUUGCCAGCCUGCCAGUUCCACUUGCCUCUAUUAUCUUCUAAUAUGCUACCUUCAACUUCACCAUCUUCAUUUUUGCCUUCCCUGGAAUCUCCAGCCCUGCUAUUCAUUCACCCAUUACCUCCCUGGUUUGCAACAAAACUUUUAUUCAACUACAACCUGCUUGGUGGAGAUCUAGAGGAAAGGACCAAGCCUAACAAACAUCUACGGCUGGAUGAAGUGACCUGCGUGGUUCAACAUGCCCAGCCUGCACCAAUUUAAUAUCUCAAAGCGUCAGUGACAUUUCAUUUGUGUUUCCUUCAAUAGCAAAGUUGUGUCUACACACACACACAAUCUUUGCCUGUUUUUAUUGUUCAACUUUUACAUUGUGCUGAGAGCUUCCAUGAACCGUGCAGCAGCCUCUACUGAAAUUCAUCUCAUAGCACUUACUAGCCUAUUCAAUGCCAGUGCAAGUUCAGAAACUGCCAGCUGCAAUGGAUAUGAGCCAGAGAAUACAAGAGGACGCCAGUUGUUUUCAAGGCAGUCCAUGAUACCUGAACUGAGCAUUGUUGAGUCUUCACUGCAAAGAAGAGAGAUCUGGUUAUUAAUUAUCAUCAGCAAGACUUUGCCUUUUAGUCAUGUAAUGGAAUCUCAGUAAUUUGAACUGGAACAUUACAAUUAGUACACAUGCACUGCAGACAGACGCUCACACAUGUCAUUGUAUCUCAGGCCUAGUUGGGACUUCUCUUAACAGCUCCAGCCCAAACCUCAUUAACAGAAGCAUCCACAUUUGGUGCUGGUGCAGUAACUUGUAAACACAUUAAAAAUUUAAUUGCACCUACAGGCUUUGGUGCUUCAUGUGCAUUUUAAUUUGCAGGCCUCCCAACUUCUAUUAACCAGCACUGUCCCCUCUGAAAAUGGCCCUGAAACCAAGGUUUGAACAUAUUCAAUAAAUGCAGAUUAUAUGUAAGUUUACAAUGUUGGAAGUUGCUUUAAUUAAAGAACUUCUCUGUCAUAUGUUUGUAUAUUUCAAAAACAAGAGGACCUUGAUGAGUGAAAUUAACAAAUGUGAAAGUGUAGCCCAGUCAAUAUUCUUCCUCCGGAAAUAAACAACUGAUAAUGUGUA